UCAAUUUAGUUAAACUGGUUUUGAAUUGGGCUUGAUUCAUAUUUAAUUUGGGUCUGCUGAGACUAACUCAGCUUAAUUAGGUUCAGACCCAACUCAAUUGGACUUAAUUUGGUUCGGAUUUAUCCCAAUUUAUAGUUUGGGUUCGUCCGGACUUAGCCCAAUCUGACUGGGCUCGGUUUUAGUCAAAUUUGGCUAAACCUAUUUUUCUUUUCUUUUAUUUGGGCCUAACAGGUUCGGACCCGUACUCGGAUCAGGCCCGUUAGGUCGAACCCGUUAAGGGUCUCUCUCUUUUUUUUUUCCUUUCCUUUUCUUUUCUUUUUCUUUUCUUUUUCUUCUUUUCUUCUUUUUCUUUUCUUUCUUCUUCCUUCCCGAACCUUCUUCUCCAUUCUUUCUUCUUUCUUUUUCUUCUCCUCCUCCUCCACUGUUUGUCUCCCUCUCUACAAUCCUCUCCGAUUGGUAGGACCCGGUGUUAGUCCUACGUCGCCGGAGCAGAGGGCUGCAUCACCGGAGUAAGAGACGAACGAUCCCCUUCAAGGCAGGUAAAGCCCUUCUUCAGAAUUUAUU
rnacentral:lncRNA from 1 species